rnacentral:rRNA from 1 species
CCUACGGGUGGCAGCAGUGAGGAAUAUUGGUCAAUGGGCGCGAGCCUGAACCAGCCAAGUCGCGUGAGGGAAGACGGUCCUAUGGAUUGUAAACCUCUUUUGCCGGGGAGCAAAAGACGCCACGCGUGGCGCUCCGAGAGUACCCGAAGAAAAGCAUCGGCUAACCCCGUGCCAGCAGCCGCCGUAAUACGGAGGAUGCGAGCGUUAUCCGGAUUUUUUGGGUUUAAAGGGUGCGCAGGCGGAAGAUCAAGUCAGCGGUAAAAUUGAGAGGCUCAACCUCUUCGAGCCGUUGAAACUGGUUUUCUUGAGUGAGUGAGAAGUAUGCGGAAUGCGUGGUGUAGCGGUGAAAUGCAUAGAUAUCACGCAGAACUCCGAUUGCGAAGGCAGCGUACCGGCGCUCAACUGACGCUCAUGCACGAAAGUGUGGGUAUCGAACAGGAUUAGAUACCCCUGUAGUC